UCGCUCUUCAACGAGGAAUCCCUAGUAAGCAUGAGUCAUCAGCUCAUGUUGAUUACGUCCCUGCCCUUUGUACACACCGCCCGUCGCUACUACCGAUUGAAUGGCUUAGUGAGACCUUUGGAUUGGGGUUUAGGAAUCGGCAACGAAUCUUAUUCUCCGAGAAGUCGGUCAAACUUGGUCAUUUAGAGGAAGUAAAAGUCGUAACAAGGUUUCCGUAGGUGAACCUGCGGAAGGAUCAUUAAAAACUUUUAUCCGGGAAUUCGUUUAGUCUUCCCGGAUUAUUUGUAUUCAAAUCCCACUCUUUAUAAAUAUAUCAAUUAUAUAAAACAAAUAUAAAAAAAGAAAACUUUCAACAACGGAUCUCUUGGCUCUCGCAUCGAUGAAGAACGCAGCGAAAUGCGAUACGUAAUGUGAAUUGCAGAAUUCCGUGAAUCAUCGAAUCUUUUGAACACAAAUUGUACUUUUCAGUAAUCUGGAAAAGUAUGCUUGGUUGAGGGUCAUUAAAAAUAACAUUCGUGAAUUUUUUCGCGGAUUUGAGUUUUCCAGUAUUUAUUAUAAAUAAAUGUUGGUUACCUUUAAAAUUAUUUAUAAACUUGGUUACAGUUGAAAACGUGCUAUAUGUGUGUUCGCCUGAACAACUUGUCAAUCUUUAAUAUAUUAUGCCGCCGUGCCUGCCUUUUAAAGGUUUUGGUAACGAGAUAUAUAUUUUUUUAUGGACUCAGCUCAGGCAAGAAAACCGCUGAACUUAAGGCAUAUCAUUAGGCGAGGAAAGAACUUACAGGAAUCCCUAGUACGCGAGUGGAGAGGAAAGCUCCAAUUGAAUCACUUGGUUC
rnacentral:rRNA from 1 species